CCUGUGCCUCGCCGCGAGUGCUGCAAGCGCCCCUGGCCAAGCGCCUGCUUUACAGACGCGGAAACUGAGGCACGGAGGUGGUGACUCAGUUGCUUCCUGCGGGUGUCCGCGUAGACGUUACCUCCUCGGGCCGGCCCGGGCCCCCGUGUGCGAAGCCGACUCCAGCUUCCAAACCGGCGCGUCCACUCUUAGUGCCAUGUACGGGUAGCCCUGCAGCUGUUACGGGUUCCCCUGCCCGUGUUACAGGUACCCCUGCAGGUGUUACGGGCACCGCUGCUGUUACAGGUUCCCCUGCAGGUACCCCUGCCCGUGUUACAGGUUCUGCAGGUGUUACAGGUACCCCUGCAGGUGUUAUGGGUUCCCCUGACCACGUUACAGGUUCCCCUGCAGGUACCCCUGCCCGUGUUACAGGUUCUGCAGGUGUUACGGGUUCCCCUGCAGGUGUUACAGGUACCCCUGCCCGUGUUACAGGUUCUGCAGGUGUUACAGGUACCCCUGCAGGUGUUAUGGGUUCCCCUGACCACGUUACAGGUUCCCCUGCAGGUACCCCUGCCCGUGUUACAAGUUCUGCAGGUGUUAGGGGUUCCCCUGCAGGUACCUCUGCAGGUGUUAUGGGUUCCCCUACAGGUGUUACGGGUAACCCUGCCCGUGUUAUUGGUACCCCUGCAGGUACCCCUGCUCGUGUUACAGGUAGCCCUGCAGGUGUUACAGGUUCCCCUGCAGGUUCCACUGCCCAUGUUACAAGUACCCCUGCAGGUGCUACAGGUACUGCUGCAGGUGUUACGGGUACCCCUGCAGGUGUUCUGUGAGUGGCUGGCCUUGGUGAAUUGAACAAACAGCUGUCAGAGCUAGUGGCUGCCUACUAUUGCCACCACAUCCUAGAACUUUGAAAGAGAAGCUGAAAAUCUUGAUUUUUUUGUUUGUUUGUUUUAGUUUUAAUGCAGAAUAUUUUAAAUGUUACUUUUAAAGAUUGUGGAGUUCUUGUCUCUGUGUGUGUGUGUUUAAUUGUACAAGCCAAACAAACCAUUUAUGUAGGUUGAAUUCAGCCGGUGGACUUCCCAAUUUGCAGCCCUAUAUUAAAGAGGAAUUUUUUUUUUAAAGGAGUGACAGGAGCGAAGUAUGAAAAUGAAUAUUUCCAACAAGGUCAUAUUCCUUAAUCUUUAGGUGCGUAGGUAAUUUAGGCUUGUCCGUCUUUUAUUUUUCCUGGUCAACCAUAAAGCUGAUUAUCUUUUAUCUUUUUUUUUUUUUAAGAUUUUAUUUAUUUGUUCAUGAGAGACACACAGAGAGGCAGAGACACAG